rnacentral:lncRNA from 1 species
CUGGUUUAUACUGGGAUAGAAUGGUUUAUAUUGGAUAUUAUGGUUUACAUUGGUUUAUAUUGGAUAUACUGGUUUAUACUGGUUUGUACUGGUUAUACUGGGAUAUAAUGGUUUAUAUUGGAUAUAAUGGUUUAUAGUGGUUUCUAUUGGAUAUACUGGGUUAUACUGGGAUAUAAUGGUUUAUACUGGAUAUAAUGGUUUCUAUUGGUUUAUAUUGGAUAUACUGGUUUAUACUGGGAUAUACUGGGAUAUACUGGGUUAUACUGGGAUAUACUGGGUUAUACUGGGAUAUACUGGGUUAUACUGGGAUAUACUGGGUUAUACUGGUUUGUACUGGUUUGUACUUGUUUAUGCUGGUUUAUAUUGGAUUAUACUGGUUUAGACUGGGAUAUAUUGGAUAUAGUGACACAGAUGACACAGG